rnacentral:rRNA from 1 species
UACGAAGGGGGCUAGCGUUGCUCGGAAUUACUGGGCGUAAAGCGCACGUAGGCGGGUUCUUAAGUCGGUGGUGAAAUCCUGGAGCUCAACUUCAGAACUGCCUUCGAAACUGGGAAUCUUGAGUCCGGGAGAGGUGAGUGGAACUGCGAGUGUAGAGGUGAAAUUCGUAGAUAUUCGCAAGAACACCAGUGGCGAAGGCGGCUCACUGGCCCGGUACUGACGCUGAGGCACGAAAGCGUGGGGAGCAAACAGG